UGGGGAAUAUUGCGCAAUGGGGGAAACCCUGACGCAGCCAUGCCGCGUGAAUGAAGAAGGCCUUCGGGUUGUAAAGUUCUUUCGGUGAUGAGGAAGGCAGUUUGGUUAAUAGCCAAGCUGAUUGACGUUAGUCACAGAAGAAGCACCGGCUAACUCCGUGCCAGCAGCCGCGGUAAUACGGAGGGUGCGAGCGUUAAUCGGAAUAACUGGGCGUAAAGGGCACGCAGGCGGAUUUUUAAGUGAGGUGUGAAAGCCCCGGGCUUAACCUGGGAAUUGCAUUUCAGACUGGGAAUCUAGAGUACUUUAGGGAGGGGUAGAAUUCCACGUGUAGCGGUGAAAUGCGUAGAGAUGUGGAGGAAUACCGAAGGCGAAGGCAGCCCCUUGGGAAUGUACUGACGCUCAUGUGCGAAAGCGUGGGGAGCAAACAGG
rnacentral:rRNA from 1 species